GCUUCCACAGCUGACACACCACGCGCACAGUAUUGACAAGAAAGGAAAAACAUUUUUCGGAGUUGUGAAACUUUCUAUUUCGUAAGGAGUUAUGAACGUGAAAUAAUGACACAGACUGGCUACACCAUCUCAUCUGCCGCAGAUACUGUAUCAGGAGGACAGCGCGUUUGUUUGAGGCACUGUUCACUUCAACUGUGUCUGACAGGAGAAUUAUCUUUUCUGAGCCUACUAGCCGUUGAGAGUUACCAUGGCAACCGCGGACACAUCAGCUGCUGGAGAGGAGAGGACUCGUCUGACAUUUUCUGUUUCUCGUCAGUUAAACCAAAGAAAAGUCCAACUGCGACUGAUUGGAGUGUCUAAAAAACCCUCUAAAACCGAGGGGAAGUUCCAAGAAAAUUUCUGAUGGGAGCUGCUGACAGAGAUAUAGAAAACACAGGUGAUCAGAGAAAGCUUAUUAAAUAACUUCAUAUUUAUUUUUUACAAUAUAUCAUCAUGCAUCUGUUAAAUCUAAAAAUGUGAAUUGUGAUAUCUUAAGAUUUGUUUGUAUGUUUUCCAUAUUACUAUUUUUCUUUUCUGCAUUUCCCCUAUUCUCUAGUUUGUUUACUUCUAAUAAGGAGUUGGAGGCCAUGGAGAAGCAGAUCCGUGACUUCGUGGAGAAGCAGAUCCGUGACCUCGUGGAGAAGCAGAUCCGUGACCUCGUGGAGAAGCAGGCUCAGCUGAGAGAGCGGAGAGCCGUGAUGGAAACAUUCAGGGGGUUGAUGCUCAUAAGUCCAGGGUAAGUA